AGGCUGGCAAGGUGGAGGGGGUGGAGUUUGUACUUGGCCACAGGUGGCUUUGGAUUUGAGGUCCCAAGAGCUUGCUGACCCCUCAGAGGGAUCAGGUUACAUUUGUGUGGAAGAUAAAAGUGAAAUUCCUGGACUGGAGAACAAAAUACUCCCUCACAAAAAAGAAGACCAUUAAAAUUUACUUCUGCUGCAAUGUAAUAAAGGGGACGAUAACCCUCAACAUCAGGAAAUGACUCCAUGCUUUCCCUUUCAUAUUUGAAACCAGAGGUCCUUACAGCUGCUGCCUUCCUCAUCUCAAGCAUUAAUUUUCUAUUACAAAUAAAAUUAAUGAGUUUAGCCAA